GGUGACAGUGCUGGCCUAGGAGGGAAAGAAGUCUCUGGAGUUCCUGGAUCUGUAAGUUGAAGCAGAGCCCAUAGACCAGCCAGGUCCAUAGAAACGUGCAUGUCAGGUGACAGGCAUUUCUUGCCUAGAUGACUCUCAGGCAUGGUCUCUUAUUCACUCUGGACACUCCUUGUCAGGGCACAGAGCCCUUCACAUCUGCCCCUGCCAAUGUCUUCUGGAUCGUCUCCCAUCUCUCCCUAUAUGCCUCCUCAACUUCAACUCCCCAGAAUCAUAGGCAGUUCCGGCGUGCAACAUGGCUUCCUUUAGACCAGGUUCCCACCUGCUAGCCAGUCCUCAGCAACCUCUGCUGUGUGGUUUCCCUUUCUUUAAUCCUUUGCUCAAGCCUCUUGAGAUUUGAAACCUUCUUUGAAGACAUACCAUCCCCUUCCCUCCGGGCUCCCUACCCCCAAGGUUGGGCUAAAUGCCCUUACUUUGAUGGUCUGGACUGGUCAGUCCUAAGCCUCACCUAUUUACCUGAGUGGGUGGGGAUGUGUCCUAAGUAGAUAUCCCAUGUGUUUUGUGCUGUGGGUCAUAGUCAAAAUAGUCAGCAAUCCACUGAUCUUAUUUACCCUCCUGUUUAAGACGCUUCCAAGUCUUGUGUGAGGCUCAGACUGAGCCUUUAAAAUCCCCACAUUUCCCUUUUCUGGGCUGCUCUGCC
rnacentral:lncRNA from 1 species